rnacentral:rRNA from 1 species
GACGAACGCUAGCGACGUGCCUGAGAAAUGCAAGUCGAGCGGACAGCCUUCGGGUUGUCAGCGGCGAACGGUCGAGUAACACGUAACCAACCUGCCCCAGAGUCUGGGAUAGCCCUCCGAAAGGGGGAGUAAUACCGGAUGGUCUUCUUUAGAGGCAUCUUUGAAGGAGUAAAGCUUAAUGUGCUUUGGGAGGGGGUUGCGGCCUAUCAGCUGGUUGGCGCGGUAAUGGCGCACCAAGGCGACGACGGGUAGCUGGUCUGAGAGGAUGGUCAGCCGGAUUGGGACUGAGACACGGCCCAAACUCCUACGGGGGGCAGCAAUCAGGAAUCUUGCGCAAUGGGGGAAACCCUGACGCAGCGACGUCGCGUGAAGGAUGACGGCCUUCGGGUUGUAAACUUCUUUUGUUGGGGACGAGAUAGGACGGUACCCAACGAAUAAGCCCCGGCUAACUCCGUGCCAGCAGCCGCGGUAAUACGGAGGGGGCGAGCGUUGUCCGAAUUUAUUGGGCGUAAAGCGCGUGUAGGCGGAAUGACAAGCCUGAAGUGAAAGGCUGGGGCUCAACCCCAGGAGUGCUUUGGGGACUGUCAUUCUGGAGGGAGGCAGAGGAGUGUGGAAUUCCUGGUGUAGCGGUGGAAUGCGUAGAUAUCAGGAAGAACACCCGUGGCGAAGGCGGCACUCUGGGCCUCAUCUGACGCUGAGACGCGAAAGCGCGGGGAGCAAACGGGAUUAGAUACCCCGGUAGUCCGCGCCGUAAACUAUGGAUGCUCGGUGUUGGGGGUAUUGACCCCCUCAGCGCCUAAGGUAACCCGGUAAGCAUCCCGCCUGGGGAGUACGGCCGCAAGGUUG